GAUGAACGCUGGCGGCGUGCCUAAUACAUGCCAGUCGAGCGAACAGACGAGGAGCUUGCUCCUCUGACGUUAGCGGCGGACGGGUGAGUAACACGUGGAUAACCUACCUAUAAGACUGGGAUAACUUCGGGAAACCGGAGCUAAUACCGGAUAAUAUAUUGAACCGCAUGGUUCAAUAGUGAAAGACGGUUUUGCUGUCACUUAUAGAUGGAUCCGCGCCGCAUUACCUAGUUGGUAAGGUAACGGCUUACCAAGGCAACGAUGCGUAACCGACCUGUGAGGGGGGUGGCCCACACAAGAAUAAGAACACCGAACAGAAUCCUAGGGGAGACAACAGUGAGGAAUGUAAAGCAACGGGCGAAAGCUUGACAGAGCAAACGCGCAUGAGUGAGAAAAAUCUUCGGAUCGUAAAACACUGUUAUCGGGGAAGAACAAAUGUGUAAGUAAAUCUGCACGUCUUGACGGUACCUAAUCAGAAAGCCACGGCUAACUACGUG
rnacentral:rRNA from 1 species